GAUGAACGCUGGCGGCGUGCCUAAUACAUGCAAGUCGAGCGAACAGACGAGGCGUUUGCUCCUUUGACGUUAGCGGCGGACGGGUGAGUCACGCGUGGAUAACCCACCUAUCAGUCUGGGAUAACUUCGGGAAACCGGAGAUAAUACCGGAUAAGCUGCUGCACCGCGUGGUUCAACGGUAAGAGACGGUCUUGCGGUAACGUCUCGCUGCUUCCGGGCGGCAUUAGCUAGUUGGUAGGGUAAAGGCCUACCAAGGGAACUAGGCGUAGCCGACCGGCCAGGGUGAUCGGCCACACUGGAACUGGGCCGCCGUCCAUGCUCCUGCGGGAGGCACCAGAAGGGAACCUUCCGCAGUGGGCGGAAGCCUGGCGGAGCAACGCCGCGUGAGAGACGAAGGUCUUCGGAUCGUAAAACUCUGUUAUGAGUGAAGAACAAAUGUGUAAGUAGCUGUGCACGGCGUGACGGUACCUAGUCAGAAAGCCACGGCUAACUACGUG
rnacentral:rRNA from 1 species